UCUCUGUAGACAAAGCCACACUAAC
rnacentral:piRNA from 1 species